rnacentral:tRNA from 1 species
GGGGGCGUAGCUCAACCUGGUUAGAGCACUUGCCUUUUAAGCAAGGUGUUGCGGGUUCAAAUCCCGUCGUCCCCA